GCCUGGGUAGCUUAGUUGAUAGAGCAUCAGACUUUUAAUCUGAGGGUCCAGGGUUUAAGUCCCUGUUCAGGCA
rnacentral:tRNA from 1 species